UACAGAGGUCCCGAGCGUUGUUCGGAUUCACUGGGCGUAAAGGGUGCGUAGGUGGCCUGAAAAGUUUGAUGUGAAAGCUCAGGGCUUAACCCUGAAAUGGCAUUGAAUACUGUUGGGCUGGAGGUUUGGAGGGGGGACUGGAAUUCUUGGUGUAGCAGUGAAAUGCGUAGAUAUCAAGAGGAACACCAGUGGCGAAGGCGAGUCCCUGGACAACACCUGACACUGAGGCACGAAAGCUAGGGGAGCAAAACAGG
rnacentral:rRNA from 1 species